rnacentral:tRNA from 1 species
GGAGAGAUGGCAGAGUGGUCGAAUGCGGCGGUCUCGAAAACCGUUUUCCGCCAAUCGGCGGAACGGGGGUUCGAACCCCCCUCUCUCCGCCA